AACGAUGUCAACUGGUUGUUGGGGAUUUAUUUCUUCAGUAACGAAGCUAACGCGUGAAGUUGACCGCCUGGGGAGUACGGCCGCAAGGUUAAAACUCAAAGGAAUUGACGGGGACCCGCACAAGCGGUGGAUGAUGUUCUUUAAUUCGAUGCAACGCGAAAAACCUUACCCACCUUUGACAUGUACGGAAGACUGCAGAGAUGCGGUUGUGCUCGAAAGAGAGCCGUAACACAGGUGCUGCAUGGCUGUCGUCAGCUCGUGUCGUGAGAUGUUGGGUUAAGUCCCGCAACGAGCGCAACCCUUGCCAUUAGUUGCUACGAAAGGGCACUCUAAUGGGACUGCCGGUGACAAACCGGAGGAAGGUGGGGAUGACGUCAAGUCCUCAUGGCCCUUAUAGGUGGGGCUAGAAACGUCAUACAAUGGCCGGUACAAAGGGUCGCGAAGCCGCGAGGUGGAGCCAAUCCCAUAAAGCCGGUCGUAGUCCGGAUCGCAGUCUGCAACUCGACUGCGUGAAGUCGGAAUCGCUAGUAAUCGUGGAUCAGCAUGUCACGGUGAAUACGUUCCCGGGUCUUGUACACACCGCCCGUCACACCAUGGGAGCGGGUCUCGCCAGAAGUAGGUAGCCUAACUUCAAGGAGGGCGCUUACCGCGGCGUGGU
rnacentral:rRNA from 1 species